ACCGGAUCUACCCAACAUCGUACCCCCUACAUCUCUCCAACAGACUUUGGCAACUAAAGAAGGAAUGCCUAUAGACGAAAUUCCCCCAUCUUCAGUUCCACCUCCUGCUUGUUCACCAUCUCUUGCAGUUUUUUUGAAACAAGCCAAGAACCACCAGCUUUGUGUGCUCGACAACACACAUAUCAUGCUGCAGGUGGAGGUGGAUUUAAAUGGGACUACCAAACCCAUCCCACUUAAAUUGUAUUAAUG